rnacentral:misc_RNA from 1 species
CCCUCUCAUCCCUAAUUUCUCUAGUUACGUUAAAUUCCACUCUUUCCAAACUUAAUAGCCAUUAAUCAACACCCAAAAACAAGAUGGUGGAAUUGAGGAUUGUAGCUGGGGAUUGCUUUUCUUCUUAUCAUCUUUCUUCCUGGGUCGUCUUUUCUGCCCUCCACUCUUUCACCAUUUUUGCUGGCGACCAGCUUUCCCAUGCACCAAGCCGAUGAUGCUGCCAUGUCUGCAAGCAUAGAUGCCUACAGCUGCAGUAAGAGAUGUAAAGCUUCAAAGUCGUCAAUGUCCGCUUACGUGUUCAGGUAGCUGUUGAGCGAAGGAGGGGUCGGGUUGGGAGCAUCAAUUUAUAAGUUAAUUAAAUUAAUUUAUAUACUCUAAAAAUUAGUUAAUUUCUUUGUUUAUUUUUUUAAUUAAAUUUAUAAAUUGAGUUUAUACAUAUUUAUAAACUAAUUUAAUCAAUUACUUUUUUUAACAUAGUUUUUUUUUUAUUAAAAAUAAAAUUCAUUGAAAAGUCUUAACAAAAUAAGAUGGAGAUUAAAAAUUGGUUUGACAUAAGGGAUAGGAACAAAAGGAUCCAUCAUGCUUGUUUUAGUAGCAAGCAAGCGACAAGCACACUUAUAAGUGAUCAAACAAAUUAACUAUCUAAAGAAUAUCAAGGAUGAUGCUUGAAUAACUAGUGGGUCUUCUGCUCCAUUUGCUGCUUUAAUCAUCGUCAGAGAAUUCCCUUCAAAUUACUUUAUCAUGCCUUCAUUUAAUUUUAAAAUACAACUAUAUAACUCAUUUAUGACAUUUUUUUAAUAUUUCAAUAAUAAAUAUAUUUAUAAACUACUUUAUCGUACUUAUUAAUAAUUUAAUUAUAAAAAUUAUACACCUUGCCGCCUCUUCUUCCAAACGCAAACAUUUACCUUCAAGCUGCAAUCACAAGAGCUCAAGUUCGCCGAACAGCACAGUUUCAUCCAACCGUCUGGGGUGAGUACUUCGUCAAGCACGUAUCCGAUAAUAAGGUAAUUGUAAGGAGCAAAUCCAUAGGUGUUCAAAUUGCAAGGAAAAAAAGAAAUUAUAAUGCAUAAAGUUUUAAUGUCUUUGCACAGAUGGUAAGUGUUUGGACAGAACAAGCCAAGAUCCUGAAAGAAGAAGUGAGGAGGAUGCUUACCUCUGCUACUGAUCAUAAAUCUUCAGAAAAGCUGAAGUUGUUAGAUGCUAUUCAACGACUUGGGAUUUCUUACCAUUUUGAAGGAGAAAUAGAAGAAGCAUUGAAACAAAUUUAUCAAGACUUUAAAGAUGAUGGGAACCUCGGUACUGUUGCUCUUCGAUUUCGCCUUCUAAGACAACAGGGCUAUAAUGUUUCAUCUGGUAAGUCCCUUAAAAGAAAUCUCCAUCUCCAUUUCUAAAUUUGGACGCAUGUAUAUUCUUCACCAUUUACUCAUUGUGUGGCUGCUCUAUUUGUGGGUGAAUCAGAUGUUUUCAACAAGUUUAAGGACAGGGAAGGUAACUUUAGGGAAGAUUUAACCAAUGAUGUGCAGGGCUUGUUAAGCUUGUAUGAAGCUUCGCAUCUUAGUGUGCGAGGAGAAGAUACACUAGAUGAAGCUCUUGAAUUCACCAAAACUCGGGGAAAUUACCCAGAGGGAGUAAUGGGAAAUAAAAAAUACCAAAAGGGGAUCAAACUACAACUUAUUUACCAAAAGGGGUUGAGAGAGAGAGAGAGAGAGA